CAGCAGCCACGGGAAUACGUAGGGUGCAAGCGUUAAUCGGAAUUACUGGGCGUAAAGCGUGCGCAGGCGGUUAUAUAAGACAGAUGUGAAAUCCCCGGGCUCAACCUGGGAACUGCAUUUGUGACUGUAUAGCUAGAGGACGGCAGAGGGGGAUGGAAUUCCGCGUGUAGCAGUGAAAUGCGUAGAUAUGCGGAGGAACACCGAUGGCGAAGGCAAUCCCCUGGGCCUGUACUGACGCUCAUGCACGAAAGCGUGGGGAGCAAACAGGAUUAGAUACCCCCGUAGUCCCUGUCUCUUAUAC
rnacentral:rRNA from 1 species